CAUUCUAUUAAAGGUUAACAUGUUAAAAAAAAAAAAACAGUUCAAUCUUCCAAUAUGCACUGACCUGUAAAUGCACAUUUUAUCCAGUCUUUUGGGUUGUUCAGAUAGUAAGUCAAUGAUUAGACAAAAGGAACGAUGAAGACAUGAUUGAGGGAUAAACUUUCAGAGUUUAUUGUAGAAUACUAGGAUGAAAAUUAAAACCCUUCCUCACCAAGAAAAUGAAUGUGUGUGUGUGUGAGUGUUAGAGAGAGA
rnacentral:lncRNA from 1 species